rnacentral:rRNA from 1 species
AGAACGAACGCUGGCGGCAUGCCUAACACAUGCAAGUCGAACGCUCUUGGGGCUUCGGUCUCAGGGGAGUGGCGCACGGGUGAGUAGCGCGUGGGAACCUGCCCUGUUGUGGGGGAUAACCGAGGGAAAACUUCGGCUAAUACCGCAUAAGCCGGUUGUCUUGAAGGAGAUGGCCGGGAAAGAUUUAUCGCGACAGGAGGGGCCCGCGUCGGAUUAGCUAGUUGGUGGGGUAACGGCCCACCAAGGCGGUGAUCCGUAGCUGGUCUGAGAGGAUGAUCAGCCACACUGGGACUGAGACACGGCCCAGACUCCUACGGGAGGCAGCAGUGGGGAAUAUUGGACAAUGGGCGCAAGCCUGAUCCAGCAAUGCCGCGUGAGUGAUGAAGGCCUUAGGGUUGUAAAGCUCUUUCGCCCGCGACGAUGAUGACGGUAGCGGGAGAAGAAGCCCCGGCUAACUUCGCGCCAGCAGCCGCGGU